rnacentral:rRNA from 1 species
UACAGAGGUCCCGAGCGUUGUUCGGAUUCAUUGGGCGUAAAGGGUGCGUAGGCGGCGGGGCAAGUCUGAUGUGAAAUCCUGGGGCUCAACCUCAGAACUGCAUUGGAUACUGCCUUGCUAGAGUACUGGAGAGGGAACUGGAAUUUACGGUGUAGCAGUGAAAUGCGUAGAGAUCGUAAGGAAGGCCAGUGGCGAAGGCGAGUUCCUGGACGAGUUACUGACGCUGAGGCACGAAGGCCAGGGGAGCAAACGGGG